UGUUAAGUUUCCUAGGCGUCAUGAUAGUCAACACUUCAUCCUACAGGAUAUCACAGGAUCCAAAAUGGAAGCAAUUUCAAGUCGCAAUAAUGUUCCACGUUUCGAUGCCUUACUCACACAAGGAUGCACAUAUACAUUGUAUAGAGUGGGAUUCUGUCUAAAUAGGGAGGGGAUUCAAUUUCGGAAUAUUGGACAUGGGCUAGAGAUCGGACUGAUAACACAUACUAUUGUGGAGCCAUUCAUUAAGCCAAUCCAAUUUCCUCCAUUUCCAAAGUAUCUUAUGCCAUUCCAUAAGGUGUAUCAACAACCGCAUAAGUCGUUCGUAGACAUUAUUGGCAUAGUUCUUCAUUUAGAGCCAUUAAAGCAUAUCGGUGGAAGGCCGUAUAGAGAGGCUGUACUAAUGGAUUCCAG
rnacentral:misc_RNA from 1 species